rnacentral:rRNA from 1 species
UACGUAGGGCGCAAGCGUUGUCCGGAAUUACUGGGCGUAAAGCGUGCGUAGGCGGUGACUUAAGUCUGUUGUGAAAUCCCCGGGCUCAACCUGGGAAUGGCAAUGGAUACUGGGUCGCUAGAGUGUGAUAGAGGAUGGUGGAAUUCCCGGUGUAGCGGUGAAAUGCGUAGAUAUCAGGAGGAACACCUGUGGCGAAAGCGGCGCACUGGACCACAACUGACGCUGAGGCGCGAAAGCUAGGGGAGCAAACAGG